rnacentral:rRNA from 1 species
AUUGAACGCUGGCGGCAGGCCUAACACAUGCAAGUCGAACGAGUGGCGGACGGGUGAGUAAUGUCUGGGAAACUGCCCGCUGGAGGGGGAUAACUACUGGAAACGGUAGCUAAUACCGCAUACCAUCAGAUGUGCCCAGAUGGGAUUGGCUGGUCGGUGGGGUAACGGCUCCCCGAGGCGACGAUCCCUAGCUGGUCUGAGAGGAUGACCAGCCACACUGGAACUGAGACACGGUCCAGACUCCUACGGGAGGGAGCAGUGGGGAAUAUUGCACAAUGGGCGCAAGCCUGAUGCAGCCAUGCCGCGUGUAUGAAGAAGGCCUUCGGGUUGUAAAGUACUUUCAGCGAGGAGGCGUUACUCGCAGAAGAAGCACCGGCUAACUCCGUGCCAGCAGCCGCGGUAAUUC